rnacentral:sRNA from 1 species
UGGAAAGCAAAAGAAGAGAAGUGUUGACUCGGAUGAUGAUGUCUCUAAGGAAAGGAGACCAAAGCGAGCAGCAGCUUGCACAAACUUCAAGG